rnacentral:rRNA from 1 species
AUGCAGUCGAACGAUGAACCACUUCCGUGGGGAUUAUUGGCGAAGGGGUGAGUAACACGUGGGCUUCUGCCCUGCACUCUGGGACAAGCCCUGGAAACGGGGUCUAAUACCGGAUACUGAUCCGCCUGGGCAUCCAGGCGGUUCAAAAGCUCCGGCGGUGCACGAUGAGCCCGCGGCCUAUCAUCUUGUUGGUGAGGUAGUGGCUCACCAAGGCGACGACGGGUAGCCGGCCUGAGAGGGCGACCGGCCACACUGGGACUGAGACACGGCCCAGACUCCUACGGGAGGCAGCAGUGGGGAAUAUUGCACAAUGGGCGAAAGCCUGAUGCACCGACGCCGCGUGAGGGAUGACGGCCUUCGGGUUGUAAACCUCUUUCAUCAGGGAAGAAGCGAAAGUGACGGUACCUGCAGAAGAAGCGCCGGCUAACUACGUGCCAGCAGCCGCGGUAAUACGUAGGGCGCAAGCGUUGUCCGGAAUUAUUGGGCGUAAAGAGCUCGUAUGCGGCUUGUCACGUCGGUUGUGAAAGCCCGGGGCUUAACCCCGGGUCUGCAGUCGAUACGGGCAGGCUAUAGUUCGGUAGGGGAGAUCGGAAUUCCUGGUGUAACGGUGAAAUGCGCACAUAUCAGGAGGAACACCGGUGGCGAAUGCGGAUCUCUGGGCCGAUACUGACGCUGAGGAGCGAAAGCGUGGGGAGCGAACAG